GCAUUUUAUUUUAAGGGCGGGGCGCCCUCUUCCGUUUUAUAAAAGAAACAGUCGAAUUCCUACUGGAGCCGAUGCGCGCCGGCUCUGUAGACGCCGGUUCAAGGGACUUGAACUGAAUUUCGAUGGGUGAAGACAGUGGGAAGAGGCGGUGGCAUGAUCCUCGUUUUACAGACCAGGAAGUCGAGCCUCACGGGAGUGACGUGGCUUCUCUGCUGGCUCAACGAGGAAAGCGGGAUAGGGAAGACUCAGACGGGCGGGCCCACACAGACUCAGCGGCCAACUCAAGUCGGCCGGUAGAGGGCGCAGGGCUCUGUAAGCUCCAGCUCCGCCGCGGCGUGGCCUUCUGACGCGCCGUCACACUUCCAUCUGUGGCUGCCCAUUGGCCGCCUCUUACCGCCCUUUUCCGGGGCAAGAGUAGCUAGUUGCGGAGCCGGAAAUAAGGCACCCUCGGGCUCGAGACAGCGGCGGCGUUUAAAGGUGGGCGACCUGCUGCCGUUGGAGACAGCCAGCUUCGCCACUCAGGCUCCUCCAGCCCGAGCAGAAGCCCCCCCCCCCCCCCGCAGAACUCUGGGUGCUUACGGAAGGGAGCCCAGCCGGACCGCAAGGUACCCAGAGCCGGCUGAUCCGAGCCACAGAGUGUUGCCAGAAGCCCCGCCCCUAGGAGUGAUCGGGAAGCCUCACUCAUCCGGGUGAGGAACCUGGAGGGACCGCCUCAGGGCGGAGCCCGCCGGCCAUGGCUACGCCCCCGGGGGCCGGUCCUGCAGCUCUGCGCUUCGCCGCCGCCGCUAGCUGGCGGGUAGUGCGCGGCCGCUGUGUGGAGCAUUUUCCGCGAGUACUGGAGUUUCUGCAAUCUCUGCGCGCUGUUGCCCCUGGCUUGGUUCGCUACCGGCACCACGAACGCCUUUGUAUGGGCCUAAAGGCCAAGGUGGUGGUGGAGCUGAUCCUGCAGGGCCGGCCUUGGGCCCAAGUCCUGACUGCCCUGAAUCACCACUUUCCAGAAUCUGGACCUGUAGUGCGGGACCCCAAGGCUACAAAGCAUGAUCUGAGGAAGAUUUUGGAGGCACAGGAAACUUUUUGUCAGCAGGUGAAGCAGCUAUCAGAUGCUCCUGUGGAUUUGGCCUCGAAGCUGCAGGAACUUGAACAAGAGUAUGGGGAACCCUUUCUGGCUGCAAUGGAAAAGCUGCUUUUUGAAUACUUCUGUCAGCUAGAGAAAGCACUGCCUACACCGCAGGCACAGCAGCUUCAGGAUGUGUUGAGUUGGAUGCAGCCUGGAGUCUCUGUCACCUCUUCUCUUGCCUGGAGCCAAUAUGGUGUGGACAUGGGGUGGCCACUUCCAGAGUGCUCUAUUACUGACUCAAUGAACCUGGCUGAGCCCAUGGAACAGAAUCCUCCUCAGCAACAAAGACUAGCACUCCACAAUCCUCUGCCCAAGGCAAAGCCUGGCCCAUAUCUUCCUCAGGGACCAUCUUCAAGGACACACCCAGAACCUCUAGCUGGCCACCACUUCAAUCUGGCCCCUCUAGGCCAACGAAGAGUACACUCCCAAUGGGUGUCUGCUAGGGGAGGCCAUAAGGAGCGCCCCACAGUCAUGCUGUUUCCCUUUAGGAAUCUGGGCUCAGCAACCCAGCGCGCAUCUAAGCCUGAGAGCAAGGAAGAACAUGCGAUAUGCACAGCAGACCUAGCCAUGAGCACAAGAGCAGCCCCCACUGGGAAGUCUAAGAGUCCAAGCCAUACCCUGAGGGGAAGGGCUCUGAAGGAGAACCCAGUUGACUUGCCUGCCACAGAGCAAAAGGAGUGAGUGGAACAGAGUUAAUUCUCCUUACUAGGAGCACAUUCUUUGCCUGCCUUCCUUUCACCCUAUCCUCUUUGCUUGCUCUCACCUCAGGAAUUGCUUGGAUUGCUACAUGGACCCCCUAUCAUUAUUACCUCCUAGGGCCAGGAAGCCAGGUAGGUAGUCUGAGUCAGGAUUGGAUAACAGCCUCCUCUCUUGGGGACUCUCAAGAGCCUGUGUUCAUCUAGAGGUAGUAGUUUGAUUCUGGUUUCCCUCCUACAGUGUGUACUCCAUCUCUGUGCAGCUCCGUCAUUACCAUAGGGGACUUGGUUUUAGACUCUGAUGAGGAAGAAAAUGGCCAGGGGGAAGGAAAGGUGAGUAGGAAGGAGCAGAAAGCUGGGGAAGUGGAUGGGCAGAACAGGACUAAGAAAUCCACAUGCUUCAGAAUUCAGAGGGCUCAGGCAAUUGUUUCAUUUGGUGGGAUCUGCCUGCUCCCUUCUCUACAGGAGUCUCUGGAAAACUAUCAGAAGACAAAGUUUGACACCCUGAUCCCCACUUUCUAUGAAUACCUCCCCUCUUCUGGCUACAGUGCCAUGCCUUCCUAUGACUGUAGAGACAGCUGUAAACCCCUGUGAUAGAACUAAAGUGCCCUCUGUAUUCUGCCUGUCUCCUGCCUCCUCAGCUCUGCAAGUAGUUUAGUAGGAAUGAAGUGGAAGUCCAGGCUUGGAUUGCCUGACUAAACUGCUAAAAAUACUUUGUAAUGCUUAAUAAUUAAACUUUGGAUUUGUUAAAA